AGCGAACGCUGGCGGCAGGCCUAACACAUACAAGUCGAACGAACCCUUCGGGGUUAGUGGCGGACGGGUGAGUAACACGUGGGAACGUGCCUUUAGGUUCGGAAUAACUCAGGGAAACUUGUGCUAAUACCGAAUGUGCCCUUCGGGGGAAAGAUUUAUCGCCUUUAGAGCGGCCCGCGUCUGAUUAGCUAGUUGGUGAGGUAAUGGCUCACCAAGGCUACGAUCAGUAGCUGGUCUGAGAGGAUGACCAGCCACAUUGGGACUGAGACACGGCCCAAACUCCUACGGGAGGCAGCAGUGGGGAAUCUUGCGCAAUGGGCGAAAGCCUGACGCAGCCAUGCCGCGUGGAUGAUGAAGGUCUUAGGAUUGUAAAAUCCUUUCACCGGUGAAGAUAAUGACUGUAGCCGGAGAAGAAGCCCCGGCUGACUUCGUGCCAGCCGCCGCCGUAAGAC
rnacentral:rRNA from 1 species